GCGGUAGUAGCUCAGUUGGUAGAGCGGAAGCUUCCCAAGCUUCAGGUCGCGGGAUCGUGCCCCGUCUACCGCU
rnacentral:tRNA from 1 species